rnacentral:rRNA from 1 species
GAACUGAAGAGUUUGAUCAUGGCUCAGAUUGAACGCUGGCGGCAGGCCUAACACAUGCAAGUCGAGCGGAUGAAGGGAGCUUGCUCCUGGAUUCAGCGGCGGACGGGUGAGUAAUGCCUAGGAAUCUGCCUGGUAGUGGGGGAUAACGUCCGGAAACGGGCGCUAAUACCGCAUACGUCCUGAGGGAGAAAGUGGGGGAUCUUCGGACCUCACGCUAUCAGAUGAGCCUAGGUCGGAUUAGCUAGUUGGUGGGGUAAAGGCCUACCAAGGCGACGAUCCGUAACUGGUCUGAGAGGAUGAUCAGUCACACUGGAACUGAGACACGGUCCAGA